CUUUGCGUUUUGCACUCAGCAGCGACGCCAUCAUUGUGAUUUUCUCUUUACUAAAAUAGCAAAAUAAGAAGGUUUUCAACAACGGUGAUGUGGAUGAUUUCAGCAUAAAAAUAGUCCGUAGUGUAAAAUGAAAAUUUUGCGCAAUUAAUUGUUUAAUAAAAAGCUUUCUACGUACAUAGGACCGCCUCAUCGCCACUUGGGCAAUGCUCCCACAGCUGUAUGGAUUUCGGGCAAUACAAAAUUCAGGCACUGCCACUAGAGCCACUGUGCAUAGGAAAUGCGUUUGAACAACUGCAGACUGUUAAUAUGUAUUCAACUGUUGAAUGAAGGCUUAAAUGAAUGGUUGACUGUUGGCUAAAAACUUCGAUAACUGACUUACUUAGGCCAACCGGUCGAUUGCUGUUACUCGCAUUGCCGCCACAUUAUUCUUCUCUUCUCUGCGUAAAAACGACUGCUACCUGUUGGCCCGCCAGGCGUUUGGUGAUUCAGCAUGCGAACAUAUGUAUGAGCGAAAAUUCCUACAGCAACACGAACACGCUGAAAACAUAACAAUUUCAGCUAAUACGGCCGCAAUAGAAACAACAACAUGUCCACAUUUCAUCACAACAGACCCAGUUUCGAAGCGAUGCGAGCGAACCAACCAGCUUGCCCAACCAUAAAAGCCAAAAAAGUCGUGAAGUUACUAGUCGCAGAGCAAAAGCAACAGACAGACAGACAGCUACGAGUACAUAUGACGGCACUGACAAUACAAGUUGCUUGUCUGCCACUUCAGAUAACAACAAAAUUGCACGGAUAAAUACUAAAAAAAAA